GAUUCCCCCAGUAGCGGCGAGCGAACGGGGAGGAGCCCAGAGCCUGAAUCAGUGUGUGUGUUAGUGGAAGCGUCUGGAAAGGCGCGCGAUACAGGGUGACAGCCCCGUACACAAAAAUGCACAUGCUGUGAGCUCGAUGAGUAGGGCGGGACACGUGGUAUCCUGUCUGAAUAUGGGGGGACCAUCCUCCAAGGCUAAAUACUCCUGACUGACCGAUAGUGAACCAGUACCGUGAGGGAAAGGCGAAAAGAACCCCGGCGAGGGGAGUGAAAAAGAACCUGAAACCGUGUACGUACAAGCAGUGGGAGCACAGAGCAAUCUGUGUGACUGCGUACCUUUUGUAUAAUGGGUCAGCGACUUAUAUUCUGUAGCAAGGUUAACCGAAUAGGGGAGCCGAAGGGAAACCGAGUCUUAACUGGGCGUUAAGUUGCAGGGUAUAGACCCGAAACCCGGUGAUCUAGCCAUGGGCAGGUUGAAGGUUGGGUAACACUAACUGGAGGACCGAACCGACUAAUGUUGAAAAAUUAGCGGAUGACUUGUGGCUGGGGGUGAAAGGCCAAUCAAACCGGGAGAUAGCUGGUUCUCCCCGAAAGCUAUUUAGGUAGCGCCUCGUGAAUUCAUCUCCGGGGGUAGAGCACUGUUUCGGCAAGGGGGUCAUCCCGACUUACCAACCCGAUGCAAACUGCGAAUACCGGAGAAUGUUAUCACGGGAGACACACGGCGGGUGCUAACGUCCGUCGUGAAGAGGGAAACAACCCAGACCGCCAGCUAAGGUCCCAAAGUCAUGGUUAAGUGGGAAACGAUGUGGGAAGGCCCAGACAGCCAGGAUGUUGGCUUAGAAGCAGCCAUCAUUUAAAGAAAGCGUAAUAGCUCACUGGUCGAGUCGGCCUGCGCGGAAGAUGUAACGGGGCUAAACCAUGCACCGAAGCUGCGGCAGCGACACUGUGUGUUGUUGGGUAGGGGAGCGUUCUGUAAGCCUGUGAAGGUGUGCUGUGAGGCAUGCUGGAGGUAUCAGAAGUGCGAAUGCUGACAUAAGUAACGAUAAAGCGGGUGAAAAGCCCGCUCGCCGGAAGACCAAGGGUUCCUGUCCAACGUUAAUCGGGGCAGGGUGAGUCGACCCCUAAGGCGAGGCCGAAAGGCGUAGUCGAUGGGAAACAGGUUAAUAUUCCUGUACUUGGUGUUACUGCGAAGGGGGGACGGAGAAGGCUAUGUUGGCCGGGCGACGGUUGUCCCGGUUUAAGCGUGUAGGCUGGUUUUCCAGGCAAAUCCGGAAAAUCAAGGCUGAGGCGUGAUGACGAGGCACUACGGUGCUGAAGCAACAAAUGCCCUGCUUCCAGGAAAAGCCUCUAAGCAUCAGGUAACAUCAAAUCGUACCCCAAACCGACACAGGUGGUCAGGUAGAGAAUACCAAGGCGCUUGAGAGAACUCGGGUGAAGGAACUAGGCAAAAUGGUGCCGUAACUUCGGGAGAAGGCACGCUGAUAUGUAGGUGAAGUCCCUCGCGGAUGGAGCUGAAAUCAGUCGAAGAUACCAGCUGGCUGCAACUGUUUAUUAAAAACACAGCACUGUGCAAACACGAAAGUGGACGUAUACGGUGUGACGCCUGCCCGGUGCCGGAAGGUUAAUUGAUGGGGUCAGCGCAAGCGAAGCUCUUGAUCGAAGCCCCGGUAAACGGCGGCCGUAACUAUAACGGUCCUAAGGUAGCGAAAUUCCUUGUCGGGUAAGUUCCGACCUGCACGAAUGGCGUAAUGAUGGCCAGGCUGUCUCCACCCGAGACUCAGUGAAAUUGAACUCGCUGUGAAGAUGCAGUGUACCCGCGGCAAGACGGAAAGACCCCGUGAACCUUUACUAUAGCUUGACACUGAACAUUGAGCCUUGAUGUGUAGGAUAGGUGGGAGGCUUUGAAGUGUGGACGCCAGUCUGCAUGGAGCCGACCUUGAAAUACCACCCUUUAAUGUUUGAUGUUCUAACGUGGACCCGUGAUCCGGGUUGCGGACAGUGUCUGGUGGGUAGUUUGACUGGGGCGGUCUCCUCCUAAAGAGUAACGGAGGAGCACGAAGGUUGGCUAAUCCUGGUCGGACAUCAGGAGGUUAGUGCAAUGGCAUAAGCCAGCUUGACUGCGAGCGUGACGGCGCGAGCAGGUGCGAAAGCAGGUCAUAGUGAUCCGGUGGUUCUGAAUGGAAGGGCCAUCGCUCAACGGAUAAAAGGUACUCCGGGGAUAACAGGCUGAUACCGCCCAAGAGUUCAUAUCGACGGCGGUGUUUGGCACCUCGAUGUCGGCUCAUCACAUCCUGGGGCUGAAGUAGGUCCCAAGGGUAUGGCUGUUCGCCAUUUAAAGUGGUACGCGAGCUGGGUUUAGAACGUCGUGAGACAGUUCGGUCCCUAUCUGCCGUGGGCGCUGGAGAACUGAGGGGGGCUGCUCCUAGUACGAGAGGACCGGAGUGGACGCAUCACUGGUGUUCGGGUUGUCAUGCCAAUGGCACUGCCCGGUAGCUAAAUGCGGAAGAGAUAAGUGCUGAAAGCAUCUAAGCACGAAACUUGCCCCGAGAUGAGUUCUCCCUGACCCUUUAAGGGUCCUGAAGGAACGUUGAAGACGACGACGUUGAUAGGCCGGGUGUGUAAGCGCAGCGAUGCGUUGAGCUAACCGGUACUAAUGAACCGUGAGGCUUAACCUUACAACGCCGAAGGUGUUU
rnacentral:rRNA from 1 species